rnacentral:tRNA from 1 species
GGCCUCGUAGCCAAGUGGUAAGGCAGCGGUUUGCAAAACCGUUAUUCGCCGGUUCGAAUCCGGCCGAGGCCU